rnacentral:snRNA from 1 species
AUCGAUUUGUGGGAUACUGACAA